rnacentral:lncRNA from 1 species
CUCUCUUUUCUUUUCUUUUUUUUUUUUGUUUUUUUUAAGAAGACUUUUUCCCUUCUCAGUAACUUCAUGAUUGAAAAAAAAUUAUAUGUGUGUGUAUGCAAAUUUCUAUUUAGUUUAAGUAACAAAAAGUUUUACCACCCACCUCCAUUUGUUUUUUGAGACAGGGUCCCUCUAAUGUAGUUCUGGCUGUAUUAGAGCUUGCUAUGUAGAUCAGGCUGGAUUUGAACUCACAGAGAUCCUCCUGUCUCUGCCUGUCUAGUGCUAGGAUUAAAGGCAUGUACCACCACACUUGGCUCCUUUUCUUUUAAAGAUGUUUUACUUGAAACCAUUAUAGAAUUGAAACUUUAAAAAAAAAAGAAUACAAAACUAUAUAUAAGAUCUCUUCUGUCUUCUUGUAUGUAGUGGUUACACCUUUAAUCCCAGCACUUGGGACACUGAAGAUGAAUCCCUGUGAUUUCAAGGCCAACCUGAGCUACAAAGAGACCCUGUCUCCAAAAAAAAAAAAAGAAAGAAAGAAAGAAAGAAAGAAAGAAAGAAAAAGAAAAAAAUGUAGCUCAGGGGUAGAGCACUUAUUUAGCUUGUAUAAGGCUCUAGGUUAUCCCCAGAUACUUGGUACCCCAUUAAAAGGAAGGAAGGUCUGAAAGAAGAAAUGUACAUGGGUGGGAGUGGCUCAUAUUUGCUAUUUGAUUGUAAUCUAGAUAAUAAACUUUUAC